UACGUAGGGGGCAAGCGUUGUCCGGAAUUAUUGGGCGUAAAGAGCGCGUAGGCGGUCCGAUAAGUCGGCUGUGAAAGUCAGGGGCUCAACCCUUGGAAGCCGGCCGAUACUGUCGGACUAGAGUCCGGAAGAGGCGAGUGGAAUUCCCGGUGUAGCGGUGAAAUGCGCAGAUAUCAGGAAGAACACCAAUGGCGAAGGCAGCUCUCUGGGACGGUACUGACGCUGAGACGCGAAAGCGUGGGGAGCGAACAGG
rnacentral:rRNA from 1 species